UACGGAGGGGGCGAGUGUUAUUCGGAAUUAUUGGGCGUAAAGGGCGCGUAGGCGGCUGAACAAGUCAAAGGUGAAAUCCCUCGGCUCAACUGAGGAACUGCCUUUGAAACUGUUCGGCUUGAGGCCGGGAGGGGGUAGCGGAAUUCCCAGUGUAGCGGUGAAAUGCGUAGAUAUUGGGAGGAACACCAGUGGCGAAGGCGGCUACCUGGACCGGUUCUGACGCUGAGGCGCGAAAGCGUGGGUAGCAAACAGG
rnacentral:rRNA from 1 species